GUUAGUGCGCCACGGAGUACUCGAUUUGGAACAGCACUCACAUCUGAAAAAUUAACGUAGAAGACAGUGCGGAUAGUACACUUCCUUUAAGUAUACUCAUGGAAGUACGGUAGAGUGGUGGAGAGAUGACGUAUGUUGGCCAACCCGGAAGUGAGCGUCGCCCUGGAUUCCCUCUACAAAAAGCCAACGGGUUUUGCCAUUGGAUUUUUACGGUGGCCGAGAGGGGUCACAACACAUGCAAACGCCACAACACCUGCAUAUACAGAAAACACCUGCAAAUUCAGAAAACACCUGCAAAUUCAGAAAACACUUUCAUCGAUUACACAACACGUGCGCUGCAAAUGCC
ensembl:lncRNA